rnacentral:misc_RNA from 1 species
GUGAAUCAUCGAAUUUUUGAACGCAAAUUGCACUCCCUGUUAUUCCUGGGAGUAUGCCUGUGUGAGGAUCGUUAGAAUAAAAAAUCGAGGCGUCGCUCUUUUGUUUAAGGGUGAUCGCGUCUGAAUAGAGCCGUCUUUCAAAUGUUAAUUCAUGUCAAAGUUUCUUAAAAUUCAUCCAUCCGUUACGAUUAAAGCGUAUUUAAGUUCAUUUUUGAUUAAUAACGCUCGAUGACGUACCAUCGCAUGGAUUACGGUUGACCUGAUUUAUCAGGUUUAUUCUUAUAC